ACUAAGCGUACACGGUGGAUGCCCUGGCAGUCAGAGGCGAUGAAGGACGUGCUAAUCUGCGAUAAGCGUCGGUAAGGUGAUAUGAACCGUUAUAACCGGCGAUUUCCGAAUGGGGAAACCCAGUGUGAUUCGUCACACUAUCAUUAACUGAAUCCAUAGGUUAAUGAGGCGAACCGGGGGAACUGAAACAUCUAAGUACCCCGAGGAAAAGAAAUCAACCGAGAUUCCCCCAGUAGCGGCGAGCGAACGGGGAGGAGCCCAGAGCCUGAAUCAGUGUGUGUGUUAGUGGAAGCGUCUGGAAAGGCGCGCGAUACAGGGUGACAGCCCCGUACACAAAAAUGCACAUGCUGUGAGCUCGAUGAGUAGGGCGGGACACGUGGUAUCCUGUCUGAAUAUGGGGGGACCAUCCUCCAAGGCUAAAUACUCCUGACUGACCGAUAGUGAACCAGUACCGUGAGGGAAAGGCGAAAAGAACCCCGGCGAGGGGAGUGAAAAAGAACCUGAAACCGUGUACGUACAAGCAGUGGGAGCACGCUUAGGCGUGUGACUGCGUACCUUUUGUAUAAUGGGUCAGCGACUUAUAUUCUGUAGCAAGGUUAACCGAAUAGGGGAGCCGAAGGGAAACCGAGUCUUAACUGGGCGUUAAGUUGCAGGGUAUAGACCCGAAACCCGGUGAUCUAGCCAUGGGCAGGUUGAAGGUUGGGUAACACUAACUGGAGGACCGAACCGACUAAUGUUGAAAAAUUAGCGGAUGACUUGUGGCUGGGGGUGAAAGGCCAAUCAAACCGGGAGAUAGCUGGUUCUCCCCGAAAGCUAUUUAGGUAGCGCCUCGUGAAUUCAUCUCCGGGGGUAGAGCACUGUUUCGGCAAGGGGGUCAUCCCGACUUACCAACCCGAUGCAAACUGCGAAUACCGGAGAAUGUUAUCACGGGAGACACACGGCGGGUGCUAACGUCCGUCGUGAAGAGGGAAACAACCCAGACCGCCAGCUAAGGUCCCAAAGUCAUGGUUAAGUGGGAAACGAUGUGGGAAGGCCCAGACAGCCAGGAUGUUGGCUUAGAAGCAGCCAUCAUUUAAAGAAAGCGUAAUAGCUCACUGGUCGAGUCGGCCUGCGCGGAAGAUGUAACGGGGCUAAACCAUGCACCGAAGCUGCGGCAGCGACGCUGAUGCGUUGUUGGGUAGGGGAGCGUUCUGUAAGCCUGUGAAGGUGUGCUGUGAGGCAUGCUGGAGGUAUCAGAAGUGCGAAUGCUGACAUAAGUAACGAUAAAGCGGGUGAAAAGCCCGCUCGCCGGAAGACCAAGGGUUCCUGUCCAACGUUAAUCGGGGCAGGGUGAGUCGACCCCUAAGGCGAGGCCGAAAGGCGUAGUCGAUGGGAAACAGGUUAAUAUUCCUGUACUUGGUGUUACUGCGAAGGGGGGACGGAGAAGGCUAUGUUGGCCGGGCGACGGUUGUCCCGGUUUAAGCGUGUAGGCUGGUUUUCCAGGCAAAUCCGGAAAACUAAGGCUGAGGCGUGAUGACGAGGCACUACGGUGCUGAAGCAACAAAUGCCCUGCUUCCAGGAAAAGCCUCUAAGCAUCAGGUAACAUCAAAUCGUACCCCAAACCGACACAGGUGGUCAGGUAGAGAAUACCAAGGCGCUUGAGAGAACUCGGGUGAAGGAACUAGGCAAAAUGGUGCCGUAACUUCGGGAGAAGGCACGCUGAUAUGUAGGUGAAGUCCCUCGCGGAUGGAGCUGAAAUCAGUCGAAGAUACCAGCUGGCUGCAACUGUUUAUUAAAAACACAGCACUGUGCAAACACGAAAGUGGACGUAUACGGUGUGACGCCUGCCCGGUGCCGGAAGGUUAAUUGAUGGGGUCAGCGCAAGCGAAGCUCUUGAUCGAAGCCCCGGUAAACGGCGGCCGUAACUAUAACGGUCCUAAGGUAGCGAAAUUCCUUGUCGGGUAAGUUCCGACCUGCACGAAUGGCGUAAUGAUGGCCAGGCUGUCUCCACCCGAGACUCAGUGAAAUUGAACUCGCUGUGAAGAUGCAGUGUACCCGCGGCAAGACGGAAAGACCCCGUGAACCUUUACUAUAGCUUGACACUGAACAUUGAGCCUUGAUGUGUAGGAUAGGUGGGAGGCUUUGAAGUGUGGACGCCAGUCUGCAUGGAGCCGACCUUGAAAUACCACCCUUUAAUGUUUGAUGUUCUAACGUUGACCCGUAAUCCGGGUUGCGGACAGUGUCUGGUGGGUAGUUUGACUGGGGCGGUCUCCUCCUAAAGAGUAACGGAGGAGCACGAAGGUUGGCUAAUCCUGGUCGGACAUCAGGAGGUUAGUGCAAUGGCAUAAGCCAGCUUGACUGCGAGCGUGACGGCGCGAGCAGGUGCGAAAGCAGGUCAUAGUGAUCCGGUGGUUCUGAAUGGAAGGGCCAUCGCUCAACGGAUAAAAGGUACUCCGGGGAUAACAGGCUGAUACCGCCCAAGAGUUCAUAUCGACGGCGGUGUUUGGCACCUCGAUGUCGGCUCAUCACAUCCUGGGGCUGAAGUAGGUCCCAAGGGUAUGGCUGUUCGCCAUUUAAAGUGGUACGCGAGCUGGGUUUAGAACGUCGUGAGACAGUUCGGUCCCUAUCUGCCGUGGGCGCUGGAGAACUGAGGGGGGCUGCUCCUAGUACGAGAGGACCGGAGUGGACGCAUCACUGGUGUUCGGGUUGUCAUGCCAAUGGCACUGCCCGGUAGCUAAAUGCGGAAGAGAUAAGUGCUGAAAGCAUCUAAGCACGAAACUUGCCCCGAGAUGAGUUCUCCCUGACUCCUUGAGAGUCCUGAAGGAACGUUGAAGACGACGACGUUGAUAGGCCGGGUGUGUAAGCGCAGCGAUGCGUUGAGCUAACCGGUACUAAUGAACCGUGAGGCUUAACC
rnacentral:rRNA from 1 species